GGCCACAUUGGGAGUGAGACACGGCCCAGACUCCUACGGGAGGCAGCAGUGGGGGAUAUUGCACAAUGGAGGAAACUCUGAUGCAGCGACGCCGCGUGAGGGAAGAAGGCCUUCGGGUUGUAAACCUCUGUCUUCGGGGACGAACAAAUGACGGUACCCGAGGAGGAAGCCACGGCUAACUACGUGCCAGCAGCCGCGGUAAU
rnacentral:rRNA from 1 species